rnacentral:rRNA from 1 species
CGAUUACGGCUCAGUAACACGUGGACAACCUACCCUUAGGUUGGGUAUAAACCCGGGAAACUGGGUAUAAUCCCCUAUAAGUCUCGGCUGCUGGAAUGCACCGAGAUUAAAAGCUCCGGCGCCUAAGGAUGGGUCUGCGGCCUAUCAGGUAGUAGUGGGUGUAGCGUACCUACUAGCCUACGACGGGUACGGGUUGUGAGAGCAAGAGCCCGGAGAUGGAUUCUGAGACACGAAUCCAGGCCCUACGGGGUGCAGCAGGCGCGAAAACUUUACAAUGCUGGCAACAGCGAUAAGGGAACCUCGAGUGCCAGGUUACAAAUCUGGCUGUCGAGAUGCCUAAAAAGCAUUUCAUAGCAAGGGCCGGGCAAGACCGGUGCCAGCCGCCGCGGUAACACCGGCGGCUCGAGUGGUAACCGUUAUUAUUGGGUCUAAAGGGUCUGUAGCCGGCCGGAUAAGUCUCUUGAGAAAUCUGGCAGCUUAACUGUCAGGCUUUCAGGAGAUACUGUCUGGCUCGAGGCCGGGAGAGGUGAGAGGUACUU